rnacentral:rRNA from 1 species
UACGUAGGCAGCGAGCGUUGUUCGGAGUUACUGGGCGUAAAGGGUGUGUAGGCGGUUGUUUUAAGUUUGGUGUGAAAUCUCCCGGCUCAACUGGGAGGGUGCGCCGAAUACUGAAUGACUCGAGUGUGGGAGAGGUGAGUGGAAUUCCUGGUGUAGCGGUGAAGUGCGUAGAUAUCAGGAGGAACACCGGUGGUGUAGACGGCUCACUGGACCAUAACUGACGCUGAGACACGAAAGCGUGGGUAGCAAACAGG